rnacentral:rRNA from 1 species
AGAACGAACGCUGGUAGCGUGGAUUAGGCAUGCAAGUCGAACGGGAUCCGGAAGGCAGCAAUGUCGGCGGUGAGAGUGGCGGAAGGGCGAGGAACACGUGGGCAACCUGUCUUGAGGUGGGGAAAACCUCGGGAAACUGAGGCUAAUACCGAAUGUGGCGCGGAAGGGCAUCCUUCCUGGCGCUAAAGGGGGCGAAAGCUCCCCCUCUUCGAGGGGCUCGCGCACCAUCAGCUAGUUGGCGGGUAACGGCCCACCAAGGCUCACGGUUAGCUGGUCUGAGAGGAUGGCCAGCCGCACUGGGACUGAGAUACUGCCCAGACUCCUACGGGAGGCUGCAGUCGAGGAUCAUUCGCAAUGGGCGAAAGCCUGACGAUGCGACGCUGCGUGGAGGAAUGAAGGCCUUCGGGUUGUAAACUCCUGUCAUGAGGGAAAAGGAGACCCUGCCCAAUACGCAGGGGAUUUGAUGGUACCUCAAGAGGAAGGGACGGCUAACUCUGUGCCAGCAGCCGC